GUCACGUGGCCUGGGGGUCACGUGACUUCGACCUUUAGGGGGGAAAAUAUUCCGCUAGAUUUAGCGGAAAAAUUUUUCCGCUAAAUUUAGCGGAAAAUGUUCCCCGCUAAAUUUAGCGGAAAAAUUUUCCCGCUAAAUCUAGCGGAAAAUUUUUCCCGCUAAAUC
rnacentral:SRP_RNA from 1 species